rnacentral:tRNA from 2 species
CAGAGCCCGGUAAUUGCGAAAGGCCUAAGCCCUUUUUCUCAGAGGUUCAAACCCUCUCCUUAGCU